rnacentral:lncRNA from 1 species
CGGUAGCUUCCUGCGAUGCCUUGCUCUUUUUUGGCGGCGUCGAUCUCUGCGAGCUCGCCGGGCUUGCGGCGUGUACCUGGAAUACCGGUGAUCGGAUGAGAUUGUUUCUCUUUACGACCACCGAAGCAUCAGCUUUCGUCCCUUCUUCCGGCAGUUGGCGCGGCGAUCUUGUGUAACGUGUGUGGUAUGUUGGGUGUGUGUGGCGUGUAUGUGGUG